rnacentral:rRNA from 1 species
UGCUUGAGUAGUAUUAGUUAUGUUCUUGAAACUUAAAAAAUUUGGCGGUAUUUUAGUCUAUUCAGAGGAACCUGUUCUGUAAUCGAUAAUCCACGAUGGACCUUUCUUAUUCUUGUAUCUCAGUUUAUAUACCGUCGUUAUUAGAGAAUUUUAAAAGAAUAAUAAUUUUCAAUAGUUUUUAUUAGAAUUUAUAUCAGAUCAAGGUGUAGCUAAUGAAUGAGUAGAAAUGGGUUACAAUAAAAAUAUUUAUAUGGAUGUAAUUAUGAAAAAGUUACUGAAAGUGGAUUUGAUAGUAAAAUUAUAUAGAUAAAUAAUUUGAUUUUAGCUCUAAAAUAUGCACACAUCGCCCGUCGCUCUUAUUACUAAGAUAAGAUAAGUCGUAACAUAGUAGAUGUACCGGAAGGUGUCUCUAGAAUGACAAUUUAAAGCUUAUAUAGUAAAGUAUUUCAUUUACAUUGAAAAGAUUUAUGUGCAAAUCAUUAUAAAUUGAUUAGAUUUUAUUUAUUAAUAAGUUUAUUUAUUAAUUGUUUUUAUUAAAAAUAAUUGUAAGUUUUAUAGUUUUAGUAUUGUUUAAAGAAAAAAUAUUAUUAAUUAUAGUGAAUUAGUAUUGUAAAAGAAUAUUGAAAUAGUUGAAAAA